rnacentral:rRNA from 1 species
UACGAAGGGUGCAAGCGUUACUCGGAAUUACUGGGCGUAAAGCGUGCGCAGGCGGUGAUGUAAGACAGUUGUGAAAUCCCCCGGGCUCAACCUGGGAACUGCAUCUGUGACUGCAUCGCUGGAGUACGGUAGAGGGGGAUGGAAUUCCGCGUGUAGCAGUGAAAUGCGUAGAUAUGCGGAGGAACACCGAUGGCGAAGGCAAUCCCCUGGACCUGUACUGACGCUCAUGCACGAAAGCGUGGGGAGCAAACAGG